AUUGAACGCUGGCGGCAUGCCUUACACAUGCAAGUCGAACGGCAGCACGGGAGCAAUCCUGGUGGCGAGUGGCGAACGGGUGAGUAAUAUAUCGGAACGUGCCCAGUCGUGGGGGAUAACGUAGCGAAAGCUACGCUAAUACCGCAUACGAUCUAUGGAUGAAAGCGGGGGAUCGCAAGACCUCGCGCGAUUGGAGCGGCCGAUAUCAGAUUAGGUAGUUGGUGAGGUAAAGGCUCACCAAGCCGACGAUCUGUAGCUGGUCUGAGAGGACGACCAGCCACACUGGGACUGAGACACGGCCCAGACUCCUACGGGAGGCAGCAGUGGGGGAAUUUUUGGACAAUGGGCGCAAGCCUGAUCCAGCAAUGCCGCGUGCAGGAUGAAGGCCUUCGGUUGGUUAACGUA
rnacentral:rRNA from 1 species